UAAACUAGGAUUAGAUACCCUAUUAUUAAAAAUGUAAAUUUUAAAUACUAAAUUAGUAUUAGUUAUGUUCUUAAAAAUUAAAAAAUUUGGCGGUAUUUUAGUCUUUUCAGAGGAACUUGUCUCAUAAUCGAUAGUCCACGAUUAGAAGUACUUUAUUUUUUAAUUUGCAUAUCGUCGUAGUUUGAAUAUUUUAAUAGAAUUAUUAAUAUUCAAGAUUUUUUAUUAAAAAUUAAAUCAGAUCAAGGUGUAGUUUAUAAUUAAGUAGAGAUGAGUUACAAUAAAUUUAUUUAAGGAUAAUUUUUAUUAUAGAAAUUUGAAUGUGGAUUUGAUAGUAAUUUUAAUUUUUUUUUUAAAAUGAUUAAAGCUCUAAAAUAUGUACACAUCGCCCGUCGCUCUUAA
rnacentral:rRNA from 1 species